rnacentral:rRNA from 1 species
GCCCGGUAUGCGGGAUAGCUCGGCGAAAGCCGGAUUAAGACCGCAUGAGAUCCGAGGAUGAAAGCAGGGGACCCGCAAGGGCCUUGCGCUACUGGAGCGGCCGAUGUCAGAUUAGGUAGUUGGUGAGGUAAAGGCUCACCAAGCCUGCGAUCUGUAGCUGGUCUGAGAGGAUGAUCAGCCACAUCGGGACUGAGACACGGCCCGAACUCCUACGGGAGGCAGCAGUGGGGAAUUUUGGACAAUGGGGGCAACCCUGAUCCAGCCAUGCCGCGUGAGUGAAGAAGGCCUUCGGGUUGUAAAGCUCUUUCGGCCGGGAAGAAAUCGGCGACUCUAACAUAGUCGCUGGAUGACGGUACCGGACUAAGAAGCACCGGCUAAUUACGUGCCAGCAGCCGCGGUAAUACGUAGGGUGCGAGCGUUAAUCGGAAUUACUGGGCGUAAAGCGUGCGCAGGCGGAUUGUUAAGCAAGACGUGAAAUCCCCGGGCUUAACCUGGGAAUGGCGUUUUGAACUGGCAGUCUAGAGUGCGUCAGAGGGGGGUGGAAUUCCACGUGUAGCAGUGAAAUGCGUAGAGAUGUGGAGGAACACCGAUGGCGAAGGCAGCCCCCUGGGAUGACACUGACGCUCAUGUACGAAAGCGUGGGUAGCAAACAGGAUUAGAUACCCUGGUAGUCCACGCCCUAAACGAUGUCAACUGGUUGUUGGGGGAGUGAAAUCCCUUAGUAACGAAGCUAACGCGUGAAGUUGACCGCCUGGGGAGUACGGUCGCAAGAUUAAAGCUCAAAGGAAUUGACGGGGACCCGCACAAGCGGUGGAUGAUGUGGAUUAAUUCGAUGCAACGCGAAAAACCUUACCUACCCUUGACAUGUCCGGAAUC